rnacentral:rRNA from 1 species
ACACAUGCAAGUCGAGCGGUAACAGGGGAAGCUUGCUUCUCGCUGACGAGCGGCGGACGGGUGAGUAAUGUAUGGGGAUCUGCCCGAUAGAGGGGGAUAACUACUGGAAACGGUAGCUAAUACCGCAUAAUCUCUUAGGAGCAAAGCAGGGGAACUUCGGUCCUUGCGCUAUCGGAUGAACCCAUAUGGGAUUAGCUAGUUGGUGAGGUAAUGGCUCACCAAGGCGACGAUCCCUAGCUGGUCUGAGAGGAUGAUCAGCCACACUGGGACUGAGACACGGCCCAGACUCCUACGGGAGGCAGCAGUGGGGAAUAUUGCACAAUGGGCGCAAGCCUGAUGCAGCCAUGCCGCGUGUAUGAAGAAGGCCUUAGGGUUGUAAAGUACUUUCAGUUGGGAGGAAGGCGUUGAUGCUAAUAUCAUCAGCGAUUGACGUUACCAACAGAAGAAGCACCGGCUAACUCCGUGCCAGCAGCCGC